rnacentral:rRNA from 1 species
CCUACGGGAGGCAGCAGUGAGGAAUAUUGGUCAAUGGACGCAAGUCUGAACCAGCCAUGCCGCGUGCAGGAAGACGGCUCUAUGAGUUGUAAACUGCUUUUGUACGAGGGUAAACGCAGAUACGCGUAUCUGUCUGAAAGUAUCGUACGAAUAAGGAUCGGCUAACUCCGUGCCAGCAGCCGCGGUAAUACGGAGGAUUCAAGCGUUAUCCGGAUUUAUUGGGUUUAAAGGGUGCGUAGGCGGUCGGAUAAGUUAGAGGUGAAAUCCCGGGGCUCAACUUCGGAAUUGCCUCUGAUACUGUUCGGCUAGAGAGUAGUUGCGGUAGGCGGAAUGUAUGGUGUAGCGGUGAAAUGCUUAGAGAUCAUGCAGAACACCGAUUGCGAAGGCAGCUUACUAAGCUACUUCUGACGUUGAGGCACGAAAGCGUGGGGAGCAAACAGGAUUAGAUACCCCUGUAGUC